AAAAAAGCGUUGAAAGAGAAAAAAGAAUUUUUGAUGAUUUAAGAGAGUUGCCGCUUGGUGCGAGGCAAUACACAGAAGUUUAAUAUACACUCUAAAGCUUAUUUGUUGAAUUUAGUAGGCAAGUACGGAAGCCACCGUUAACUGAGGCUAGAGGUUGUUAGACCUUAAAAUGAGGUAAUCUUUUUAGAUUAUAAAAUCGGGUGGUACCGCGAAGUCAGUCUUUCGUCCCAAUG
rnacentral:ncRNA from 1 species